rnacentral:rRNA from 1 species
GAUGAACGCUGGCGGCGUGCCUAAUACAUGCAAGUCGAGCGAACAGAUAAGGAGCUUGCUCCUUUGACGUUAGCGGCGGACGGGUGAGUAACACGUGGGUAACCUACCUAUAAGACUGGAAUAACUCCGGGAAACCGGGGCUAAUGCCGGAUAACAUUUAGAACCGCAUGGUUCUAAAGUGAAAGAUGGUUUUGCUAUCACUUAUAGAUGGACCCGCGCCGUAUUAGCUAGUUGGUAAGGUAACGGCUUACCAAGGCAACGAUACGUAGCCGACCGGAGAGGGUGAUCGGCCACACUGGAACUGAGACACGGUCCAGACUCCUACGGGAGGAAGCAGUAGGGAAUCUUCCGCAAUGGGCGAAAGCCUGACGGAGCAACGCCGCGUGAGUGAUGAAGGUCUUCGGAUCGUAAAACUCUGUUAUUAGGGAAGAACAAAUGUGUAAGUAACUGUGCACGUCUUGACGGUACCUAAUCAGAAAGCCACGGCUAACUACGUG